rnacentral:tRNA from 1 species
GCCCCCGUAGCUCAGGGGAUAGAGCGUCGGUUUCCUAAACCGUGCGUCGCAUGUUCGAAUCAUGCCGGGGGCGCCG